AUUGAACGCUGGCGGCAGGCCUAACACAUGCAAGUCGAACGGGUGGCGGACGGGUGAGUAAUGUCUGGGAAACUGCCUGAUGGAGGGGGAUAACUACUGGAAACGGUAGCUAAUACCGCAUACCAUCGGAUGUGCCCAGAUGGGAUUAGCGAGUGGGUGGGGUAAAGGCUCACCGAGGCGACGAUCCCUAGCUGUUCUGAGAGGAGUACCAGUCACAUUGGACCUGAGACACGGUCCAGACUCCUACGGGGGGCAUCAGUGGGGAAUAUUGCACAAUGGGCGCAAGCCUGAUGCAGCCAUGCCGCGUGUAUGAUGAAGGCCUUCGGGUUGUAAAGUACUUUCAGCGGGGAGGCGUUACCCGCAGAAGAAGCACCGGCUAACUCCGGGCCAGCAGCCGCGGUAAUAC
rnacentral:rRNA from 1 species